GUGCUGGUAGUGCAACGGUAGCGUAUCAUGCCUCGGAUAGCGUGAAAUGUGGGUUGGAGUCCCAGCUGACGCA